ncrna:unclassified sequences Actino-pnp RNA
AAUGGUCUCCGGUAGUGGUUUACGAAAUUGAUUCGUGAACUUCGAUCGUAGAUUCAUU